rnacentral:lncRNA from 1 species
GUGUUAAUAUACCUAAAGGGGGUCUAUAUUCUCAAUUAUUAUUUAAACUAUUAGAUAAAUGAACUACUUUUACACAAGUUCACUACUGUCGUGAUAUUUAAGAGCGUUAUUAAUAAUACACACCAGCACACAAAGACCACCUAAAAGAGGAGACCUGGGUCAUCUCUUGUAUAAUCCUGAUGUUUGGCCAUCAUUCUGGUUUACGAGUUGGUCUUCGAUUAUUUGAUUAACAAUUUUAGACAACAAAUCAAUGGAUGUAUACAGUUCCAGGGCAGUAUAUUUAUCCUUUUCGUGAAUAUUACCAACAAUGGCAUCAGGACUUAGAAGUAUAUCUAAAAUACUUCUUUUGGAAUCAAGACUUUUGAGAAGGGUAGUUAGAAGAUUUAUUUAGUUCCACACAGACAUUAGCAUGUCCGCCAACAACUUGGAUUUUAAUAUAUUUAUUUAUAACUAUUGUUAAUAAAAUGUAAUACUAUAUGAUCGAAAAACAAACAGCGUCCAGUUAGCUGGGAAAUGACGAUUGACGACAUUUUCCAUAUAAAUUUACAUAUAAAAUGACAGGUAUCUUUAUUUCAUAGCCAUCGCUGACGCUGUUUUUUUUCGAUCAUACGGUAUAUUAAUAACAGAGCGCUUUUAGAUGGAGCGGAGCAUCCGCGCGGAUUGUCCGCGUGUUUAACAUACGCAACCCAUGUGAAAUUGUUCAUAUAAACUCAUGGUACUUGCUCGAAGUCGCGGAUGGUCCGCUCCAUCUGAAAGCGCUGUAAAUGAAAAUGUUCAUCAAUGAUAACAAAAAAAAAUAGAUGUAUUUUACCUUUAGAUAUUUUUUAGAUAAUAAGUUCAAAAUAUUCUUUAUUAUUUGGAAAAAAUCUUAGCGUAAGAAUAUGUUUAGUCUAUUUCUUUUUAUCAGAUAAAAAAAUAAAAUAUGUAAACCUCUACUGCCGUGUUAACGAAUAUUGUCUAAUCUGAUGUGUUGAACAAGUUCAUAUCUUUUUCGUUUAUGCAUAUUUCUAAAUAAUGUACUUUAUAUCGUAUGAUCGAAAAAAAACGGCGUCAGUGAUGGCUAUGAAAUGAAGAUCGCUAUCAUUUUAUAUGUAAAUUUAUAUGGGAAAUAUCAUCGAUCGUCAUUUCCCAGCCAACUGGACGCCGUUUUUUUCGAUCAUAUGGUAUAAUAAUACCGUCAGAUUACUUAGUUGGAAAAUGCGUUAAUAUUUAUAACACCCGUUUAUCUCAAAUGUAGCUAAGGCUUUUUUAUUAAUACGGCAGUAUAUUAUAACAUAACUGUGUAACAUUAUAUGAUAUGAUCGAAAAAAAACGGCGUCAGC